rnacentral:misc_RNA from 1 species
UCCGACUUUUAGCCGGCAGUCCCCCUAGAGUGCCCAACUGAAUGCUGGCAACUAGGGGCGAGGGUUGCGCUCGUUGCGGGACUUAACCCAACAUCUCACGACACGAGCUGACGACAACCAUGCACCACCUGUCACCCUGUCCUCCCGCAAGGGAGGAACGCCCUGUCUCCAGGGUUGUCAGGGGAUGUCAAGACCUGGUAAGGUUCUUCGCGUUGCUUCGAAUUAAACCACAUGCUCCACCGCUUGUGCGGGCCCCCGUCAAUUCCUUUGAGUUUCAGCCUUGCGGCCGUACUCCCCAGGCGGAGUGCUUAACGCGUUAGCUACAGCACUAAAGGGAAUAACCCCUCUAACACUUAGCACUCAUCGUUUACGGCGUGGACUAC